rnacentral:piRNA from 1 species
GGGAACAUUAUAGUUUUUUUUAAAAAGAGC